GACGAACCGAGCGAACGUUGUUCGGAAUCACUGGGCUUAAAGGGCGCGUAGGCGGGUGCUCAAGUCCGGGGUGAAAUCCCACAGCUCAACUGUGGAACUGCCUCGGAUACUGGGCGUCUCGAGUGUGGUAGGGGUAUGCGGAACUUCCAGUGGAGCGGUGAAAUGCGUUGAUAUUGGAAGGAACGCCGGAGGCGAAAGCGGCUCACUGGACCAUUACUGACGCUGAGGCACGAAAGCUAGGGGAGCAAACAGG
rnacentral:rRNA from 1 species